rnacentral:lncRNA from 1 species
GUAUUCGGAGCAUAGUUCUGACUUGGAGGGGGCAUAUUUGGGUUCUGAUAAUGGUUUCCACCAGAUGCAUAGUUCUGGUUUGGUCCUGGACCUGUUUGGUAAGGCAUGCCGCCCCCAUUGUUUGGUCCACCAUUAUAUUGAUUGUUUGGUGCUCCACCAUAGUUAUUGGGAGGUGCUCCACCAUAGUUUCUGGGAGGCCCUCCACCAUAGUUAGGCGGUGGCCCUCCCAUGCCAGGCUGGUGCAUCCCGCCCAUGUUGGGCUGCUGUUGCUGGUGCAUACCUCCCAUGUUAG